rnacentral:lncRNA from 1 species
GUUGUUUUUUUGACACUGUGACACUUUUUGAUCAAAUCAAGAGGACAAACAUUAAAAUGUCACAUUUUUUUGUGAAAGAUUUCAGUUAUGAACCAGAAAUGUACCCUUGGCCAACCAACCUUCCUUUUCUGGUCAACAGAAAGAAAAAGCAUUUAGCAGCUUAGAGGGAAAAUUCGUUGAAAGUCUUCAGAAUCAAUAUGGCCAAGAACACACAGUCACUAGCAUAUGGAAUGAAACUAUGACCAAGGUAAGACUAGCCCUCAUGCAUGUCAGCUGAGUUCGAUCUAAUAAAUAUUACAGUUUUCAUUUUUAUGAAUUUUAGCUGGAUUGCUGUGGAUACAAAGGCUAUGAUGACUUCACAAAUUCAACUUUUGUAAAGAGUAACUCAGAAUAUCCCAAACAAUGCUGCAGUAAAGAUUCAAAUUCAAGAUGUGGAAAACAAGAAGCUGUGGACAAGAAGAUUAAGGGCUGCUUUCAUGUGCUGCUUGAUGAAAAUAUACCCAUAUCUGGAGCUUUGUUAUUUCUGAUCGGCAUUCUACAGAUUGUUGCCUUGUUCGGUUCGCUGAAAGUCUACCAAUGCUUGAGACGCUUACCUGAUUUCCCAGACCUUUUUGAAAAUAAUCUGUGAUAAACGACUACUGAUUUGUUUUUUUCUCAAUCUAUGAAAGUUCUUUAUGAUUUGUUAUUGCAUUUGCCUUCAGAAAAUAUUCAGAUUUGUCUAUGAAACGUGGUGUGAAAACAAAGAAAAUAUAUAUCAAGAAGAACAUUGCUUUUUUAUUUUAUUAAUAAUAUAAUUU